CCCUUAGAUGUUCUGGGCUGCACGCGCGCUACACUGACGCACGCAAUAGGUGCCUGCUCCGAGAGGACUGGGUAAUCAUUUGAGUGUGCGUCGUGAUGGGGAUAGAAUAUUGUAAUUAUUACUCUUCAACGAGGAAUUCCUAGUAAGCGCCAGUCAGCAGCUUGCGCUGAUUACGUCCCUGCCCUUUGUACACACCGCCCGUCGCUCCUACCGAUGGGUGAUCCGGUGAAUGAUUCGGACUUCAGCGGCUCCCCUGGGGUGCGCCGGAGAAAGUUUUGUGAACCUUAUCACUUGGAGGAAGGAGAAGUCGUAACA
rnacentral:rRNA from 1 species